AGUGAACGCUGGCGGUAGGCCUAACACAUGCAAGUCGAACGGCAGCACAGUAAGAGCUUGCUCUUACGGGUGGCGAGUGGCGGACGGGUGAGGAAUACAUCGGAAUCUACUUUUUCGUGGGGGAUAACGUAGGGAAACUUACGCUAAUACCGCAUACGACCUACGGGUGAAAGCAUGGGAUCUUCGGACCUUGCGCGAUUGAAUGAGCCGAUGUCGGAUUAGCUAGUUGGCGGGGUAAAGGCCCACCAAGGCGACGAUCCGUAGCUGGUCUGAGAGGAUGAUCAGCCACACUGGAACUGAGACACGGUCCAGACUCCUACGGGAGGCAGCAGUGGGGAAUAUUGGACAAUGGGCGAAAGCCUGAUCCAGCCAUACCGCGUGGGUGAAGAAGGCCUUCGGGUUGUAAAGCCCUUUUGUUGGGAAAGAAAAGCAGCAGGUUAAUACCUCGCUGUUCUGACGGUACCCAAAGAAUAAGCACCGGCUAACUUCGUG
rnacentral:rRNA from 1 species